rnacentral:rRNA from 1 species
GACGAACGCUGGCGGCGUGCCUAAUACAUGCAAGUCGAGCGCAGGAAAUCGACGGAACCCUUCGGGGGGAAGUCGACGGAAUGAGCGGCGGACGGGUGAGUAACACGUAAAGAACCUGCCCUCAGGUCUGGGAUAACCACGAGAAAUCGGGGCUAAUACCGGAUGGGUCAUCGGACCGCAUGGUCUGAGGAUGAAAGGCGCUCCGGCGUCGCCCGGGGAUGGCUUUGCGGUGCAUUAGCUAGUUGGUGGGGUAAUGGCCCACCAAGGCGACGAUGCAUAGCCGACCUGAGAGGGUGAUCGGCCACACUGGGACUGAGACACGGCCCAGACUCCUACGGGAGGCAGCAGUAGGGAAUCUUCCACAAUGGACGAAAGUCUGAUGGAGCAACGCCGCGUGAACGAUGAAGGCCUUCGGGUCGUAAAGUUCUGUUGUAAGGGAAGAACAAGUGCCGCAGGCAAUGGCGGCACCUUGACGGUACCUUGCGAGAAAGUCACGGCUAACUACGUGCCAGCCGCCGCCGUAAAAC